rnacentral:rRNA from 1 species
UGGGGAAUCUUGGACAAUGGGGGCAACCCUGAUCCAGCCAUGCCGCGUGAGUGAUGAAGGCCUUAGGGUCGUAAAGCUCUUUCGCCUGUGAAGAUAAUGACGGUAGCAGGUAAAGAAACCCCGGCUAACUCCGUGCCAGCAGCCGCGGUAAUACGGAGGGGGUUAGCGUUGUUCGGAAUUACUGGGCGUAAAGCGCACGUAGGCGGACCAGAAAGUUGGGGGUGAAAUCCCGGGGGCUCAACCCCGGAACUGCCUCCAAAACUAUUGGUCUAGAGUUCGAGAGAGGUGAGUGGAAUUCCAAGUGUAGAGGUGAAAUUCGUAGAUAUUUGGAGGAACACCAGUGGCGAAGGCGGCUCACUGGCUCGAUACUGACGCUGAGGUGCGAAAGUGUGGGGAGCAAACAGGAUUAGAUACCCUGGGUAGUCCACGCCGUAAAACGAUGAGUGCUAGUCGUCGGCAGGGCAUGCCUGUCGGUGAC